rnacentral:rRNA from 1 species
CCUACGGGCGACAGCAGUGAGGAAUAUUGGUCAAUGGGCGCGAGCCUGAACCAGCCAAGUCGCGUGAGGGAGGACGGCCCUCCGGGUUGUAAACCUCUUUUGCCGGGGAGCAACGGGCGCCACGUGUGGCGUCACUGAGAGUACCCGGCGAAAAAGCAUUGGCUAACUCCGUGCCAGCGGCCGCGGUAAUACGGGGGAUGCGAGCGUUAUCCGGAUGUAUUGGGUUUAAAGGGUGCGUCGGCGGAUCGUUAAGUCAGUGGUCAAAUUGAGGGGCUCAACCCCUUCCCGCCAUUGAAACUGGCGUUCUUGAGUGGAAGAGAAGUAUGCGGAAUGCGUGGUGUAGCGGUGAAAUGCAUAGAUAUCACGCAGAACCCCGAUGGCGAAGGCAGCAUGCCGGCUUCCGACUGACGCUGAAGCACGAAAGCGUGGGGAUCGAACAGGAUUAGAUACCCGUGUAGUC